rnacentral:rRNA from 1 species
CAGUAGCCGCGGGAAUACGUAGGGUGCAAGCGUUAAUCGGAAUUACUGGGCGUAAAGCGUGCGCAGGCGGUUAUAUAAGACAGAUGUGAAAUCCCCGGGCUCAACCUGGGAACUGCAUUUGUGACUGUAUAGCUAGAGUACGGCAGAGGGGGAUGGAAUUCCGCGUGUAGCAGUGAAAUGCGUAGAUAUGCGGAGGAACACCGAUGGCGAAGGCAAUCCCCUGGGCCUGUACUGACGCUCAUGCACGAAAGCGUGGGGAGCAAACAGGAUUAGAUACCCCAGUAGUCCCUGUCUCUUAUCC